AUCCUAAUGAGUAUAAAGAUUCCUACCAUGAAAACACUUUUUCUUGCACAAAAUGGGCUUAUGCUCAUACCUCGUUUUGCAGGGUCAGACACAACUUCUUGACCCAGAGAAAAGCUGACUGCAGAUCCUCCCUUUGCCCCAGAAGGGACAAAUGGGACAAGGUUCUCCCGCUCUGGGCAGCAAAGCAUUCGGAAAACAAGACUUUCCACCUAGUGCUCCUUUCUUGGCCCCCACAUGUUUUCCUUCUACUGUUUAUUUCCAUGGAGACGGAGAUAUUAAAAGGAGGAUGCGUAAGUUAAGGCUGGGUGGAACCUCAGCAGUAAGCAUGAGAUCUUGAGUUAAACUUGGUAUCCGCCUGGGAUAUGAUGUUGGGCUUCUACAGGAUCCCCUAACUGGCCUUCACUCCUCCAGCCUGACCUCCUCAAAGCCACUUGCUGCAGCCAAGGGUUCUUGCACAAGCUGUCAUCUUCGUGUAAAAUGCUCACUUCCCACCUCUUCACCCAGCUUAUUCAUCCUUCAGGACUCUACUUCCCUCCAGAAAGCCCUUCCUGGUUCCCCCAGACUAGCUGGGGCCCCCUUGGUUUGCUCCUUUGCCUUUUCCUUCAAAAUGCUCAGCUCACUUGCAGUUUCUUGUCCAGUGCUGGUGAUCACAACUGGACUGUGAGCUCCAUGAGGGCAGGGGUGGUGUCUGACUGGGAGGCUUUGGGGCAUCAGAGUAAACACUUUUUUUGACCAAUGAUCACUUCUUUUUGAAAGCCCUUUUAGAUAUCCAACAGUUUAGCCCUGUUGAUUUUAUAUUUGGAAAAAUUUGUCUUGAUUUUAAACUUUAGAAUUUAUAUUUGCAAAUAAAGUCUUACUUUUUGAAAAAUGGAAAG
rnacentral:lncRNA from 10 species